GGCGUCAGUCUUGGCUGGGAGACCUGUACUCCGUACUCCGUACUCCGUAGUCGCAGCGGCGCGGUCUUCGGCAGUCUAGUCAUCCACCGCCAUCCUGGGCCCCACAUGUUGCCUGACCAUUCCUGAGCCCAGGUGGGAGCGGUGGCUGAGGUGACGGUCUCAAAGUGGAAGAGCUUACUGUCACAGCAACUCCUUUGCAAGAUGCCCCGUGUCCAUGAAACUGGGAGGUGACCGUGUUAGCUGCCAGUUCCUGACAGCCACCUCUCACCAGUGGCUUCACUCUGUGUCCCUGACCCAGCACAUGGCACAAGAGUGCCUGCCAUCCCUCAGUGUUUCUACAGCAGCAAUCCCGAGAUGCUGGAGCUAGAGGGGACCUGACCUGAGAGAAGAUACCUUCAGUGGCUGCCAGGCUGUUCCUUGGAACCUGUGCAGGGAUGAGGCCUGCCUGUGUUAAUACACCUAGUGAGGAGUGGAGCUGAAUUUGAAUGCAAGCCUUGGCACCUUAAUUGAGCAAGUUUGAAACCUCGCUUGUUGCCCUUCUGGAAGGAGUCAGGAAUUUCCAGUUCUGGGCCUGGGGCUGUGGGUCUGACAGACAGACCUCUGGCCCUAGGUUUGGGUGCCAGGUUCUCUGCUUCCAGAAUGAGAAGCUUUGCUGUGCACCAGGACCUGGGCCCUUCUGGUAUCUCCUGAAUGAAAAACAAGGGAUAUUUAAUAAAUAUGGAUUUAAAUAUG
rnacentral:lncRNA from 1 species